CAGGGAGACAACAAAAUGUUUAAUAUUAUUAUUUUGUCACCUUAGGCCGAUCGGUAUCUCACGUUUUUAAUUUAUUAAAAAUUUCAUUUCCUAAGUUUUUCUAGGUCACACCCAUUAUUUUUCCUGGGCCAUUAGCUCAGGUGGUUAGAGCGCACCCCUGAUAAGGGUGAGGUCCCUGGUUCAAGUCCAGGAUGGCCCAUAUCUCUAUGUUGGGGGUAUAGCUCAGUUGGUAGAGCGCCUGCUUUGCAAGCAGGAUGUCAGCGGUUCGAGUCCGCUUACCUCCACUGAUUACCACCUCUUACAUAAUCUGUAUAAAGGAAAUGUUUUGAGUUGUGAUCAAAUUCUGAACGAAUCUAGCUUCCUAAUGAAAUCAUUAAGAUGCUGGACUCAUUGAAUUAAUUUCAUUGUUUUCAGAGAACCUUGACAACUGCAUAGAUUAUUUUUAAAGACAAUAAGCAUCUUUAAUGAUGCAGAUUUAUUAUUUGUGCGAAUGCAUUAAUAACAAUUCUAUUAUGCUGAUGCUUCAAUUUUGAAGUUAUU
rnacentral:tRNA from 1 species